AACUUUGUCCGAAGCGCGGCCCGGGGACUGGGAGCGCAGGGCAGGGAGCUCCCUCUGCGGGAGCGCGGAGGCGCUCCUACUUUCUCCGCACGUCACGGGGGCCGCUCAGCGCUCUCCCACCCCGGGCCGGGCGAGAGCGGCUCCCCAGCAGGGCGACGGAGGAGCGCGGCGAGAGCGAGCCGCCGCGGAGAGCCUGGGAACCCAGAGCGCAACCCUCGGCCCCCGCCGGGGCGGCCUCCGCAGCCGCACGGACCCCGCGUUCGGGGCUGGCCCGCUCCCUCUCGUAAGUCGACUUGGCCACGCGGGGGAGCGAGGGUCGCCCGGGGCUGGAGAUGUUAACCCGGUCUCAGCCUCGUCUCCGCCGGGACGCCCCGACCCUCUGCUCCUCACGACUUUCGUUUUCCCGCCGGGGAAAACUUCGGCGCCGCGUCCAUCUCCAGGCGGCAGGCGGGGGCGCCCUCUCGGAGCCGCGCGGGGAACCGGGCUGAACC
rnacentral:lncRNA from 1 species